rnacentral:rRNA from 1 species
UACGUAGGGGGCGAGCGUUGUCCGGAUUUAUUGGGCGUAAAGAGCUCGUAGGCGGCUUGUCAAGUCGGGUGUGAAACCUCCAGGCUCAACCUGGAGACGCCACUCGAUACUGCCAUGGCUAGAGUCCGGUAGGGGAACACGGAAUUCCUGGUGUAGCGGUGAAAUGCGCAGAUAUCAGGAGGAACACCGGUGGCGAAGGCGGUGGUCUGGGCCGGCACUGACGCUGAGGAGCGAAAGCGUGGGUAGCAAACAGG